AUUUGACAGCUCUACCAAUUUGUAGGCCUGCCUCGUUCUCACUCAAGGCCGAGAUCACCCUGCAGGGGAAGAGGUCCAGCUGGAAGACGUAGAAUGUCAUCUUACUGCUCUAGUUCUCCAAGCCCCGUAACCGUAAGGGAAAGCGGUCCCGCUGGAAGACGUACAAAGCCUCUUCCUACUCUAGUUCUCCAAGCCUUUUCAGCUAAAGAAAUAAAGAUAUACCUUGCUUAGUUAUGUAUUGACGUCUACAUUGUGUGAACGUAUAGGCUCCUUAGAGGAUUUAGGAAGAAGCUCCCUGUCAAGUAAAUUGUAGGACGCUUAGUUUAGCCCAUUCCUCUGUAGGAACACUUAGCUAAUUAUCUCAUUCCUCUGCUUUGCUUCUUUGUUAGUUCUAAAAGCAUUGGUUGAGACCUUCACAUUACACUAGAUAUCUUUAUGCAAUUGGUGUCAAGUGGUGUAUGCCUGGUCCCUAGCUACAUUGAUAUCACAACUUUUCUAUCGGUGGCUAACAUUGAAAAACAAUGUAAAAACGUAUUGUCAUUGUUAUCUUGCAUCUACACUAGUUCAGGAGCUUGUGAUCAAACUUCAACAUACAGGAAACUGGAUCAUCAUUUCACUAGAAAAUCUCGUAUCAAUGUUUUACUUUCAAAUCUAGUUAAAAGAGAAAGAAACUAAUUUAUCUUGUGGGACUGUGCUACACGUAGGCCUUUGAGAGGAAGGAGCAGCAGCACCAACAGGGCAACAGGUAGCAGCAAAAGCUCACCGCCACUUCGCAAGAGCUAAUAAUUGUUUUCCUGCAAUCUCCAUUAAAAGGAAAAAAGAAAGUUUGAAGUGACCAAAAUGAGACUCAUGUUCUCAUUUACUCUGCUUGGAUCGUACGAAUAAGACUGAUCGGUCUAGUCAAGUGAAUCAGUGAUCUGACAACAACAACCACCACCUUUGUCUUUUGUCUGUUUGCUUGGAGUUAAUGUGGUUCAUGAUCUGAUGGUAACAAGGAAUUGAAAGUGGAGGUGGGAUCAUUAUGCAUUUUAGCAGAAGAUGAGAUUGAAAGCAGUAGUGGGAAUCAUGCAAUCUACACAUUGGUUCUCUCUUUUUUUUUUUUUGAACAAAAUUAAAAUAAAAUAAAAAUUGAAGGGACCACACACUGUCCAUAAGCACAACCACACAUGACACCAAGUUUAAAGUCUU